GUCUCUAACUUUUGCCUGGAUCGCCCUUUCGGGUUUUCAAUCCACCGAGACGCUCUUUUUUGCCUAAGUCGCCCUUUGGGGUGUUCGACUUAGCGAGCUUUCGCUUUUUUUUUUUUGUUUUAGGCGAAGUAUUUCUUGACUGCAUCGGAAUUCACAGGACGAGUGAACUUUUCCAUCCAUUGUUGUGAGUGUCAAAACAUUGCCUGAAGAGGCUCUUUUGACAACAUAUGGACAUUCAUAGCUUGGGGGUUCACUUGCCCCUGGAAUCGGGUACAAAAGACAAGACUUUCUUGAGCACAAGGUUCCUCGGAACACACGAGGCUUGAUCUUCUUGUCGAAUGCUUUUUCACUCUCUGCUGAUGUGACCGACCGUGACACAUGGCGGUUGAUCUCUUCUUUUCGAUCGAAUUCAGCAUCAGUCAACUUGGGACUUUGAGGGUGCUAUUUUUCUGUUUCUUUCUUUCUUUUUCUUUCUUUUGAUUUGGAUUUCUUUUGAUUUGGUUUUGCACCCUCCUCUUUCUUUCUUUUUUUUUCUUUUUUUUUUUUUGAUAAUGCCCCAGUUGGCUGUUCUGCUGAUUCUCGAGAUGCAGCUGAGUGAUCUUCUUUUCUUGCUCAAGAGGUUGGGAAAUCUCGUCAGGAAUCCCUUCAACAUCAUCUUCGUCCGCUUCGAAUACAGGGAAUUCAAAAUUGGGAGAUGACGUCCGAUCAUUAUGUUCAAUGGGUUUUAAGAAACAACCUGCAUAAAGAUUUUGAUAUGAAAAGCUUUUUGAAAAUCAAACGAGACAAUCGUUAUGCAGAUGAAAAGAUUGCUUUUAUUCUUGUUUUUAAAGGUUUUUUGGUGAUCACCAAUUUCAUGCAAAAAGCAAAAAGGG
rnacentral:lncRNA from 1 species